rnacentral:rRNA from 1 species
GGCUUAUGCCUGCACCAUCGACCGACCAUGAUCUUCUGUGAAAGGUUUGAGUACGAGCAUACCUGUUGGGACCCGAAAGAUGGUGAACUAUGCCUGAGCAGGGCGAAGCCAGAGGAAACUCUGGUGGAGGCUCGUAGAUGUGCUGACGUGCAAAUCGCUUUUCGGACUUGGGUAUAGGGGCGAAAGACUACUAGUAGCUGGUUCCCUCCGAAGUUUCCCCCAGGAUAGCUGGAGCUUGAUCAGUUUUAUCGGGUAAAGCGAAUGAUUAGAGGUACCGGGGAUGAAACAUCCUCGACCUAUUCUCAAACUUUAAAUAGGUAAGACGUCUGGGUUGCUUAAUUGAACCCAGGCAUUCAAUGAGAGCUCCAAGUGGGCCAUUUUUGGUAAGCAGA